GCACUUCGGGAUAAGCCUGGGAAACUGGGUCUAAUACCGAAUAGGACCAUAAGGCGCAUGCCUAUUGGUGGAAAGCUUUUGCGGUGUGGGAUGGGCCCGCGGCCUAUCAGCUUGUUGGUGGGGUGACGGCCUACCAAGGCGACGACGGGUAGCCGGCCUGAGAGGGUGUCCGGCCACACUGGGACUGAGAUACGGCCCAGACUCCUACGGGAGGCAGCAGUGGGGAAUAUUGCACAAUGGGCGCAAGCCUGAUGCAGCGACGCCGCGUGGGGGAUGACGGCCUUCGGGUUGUAAACCUCUUUCACCAUCGACGAAGGUCCGGGUUUUCUCGGAUUGACGGUAGGUGGAGAAGAAGCACCGGCCAACUACGUGCCAGCAGCCGCGGUAAUACGUAGGGUGCGAGCGUUGUCCGGAAUUACUGGGCGUAAAGAGCUCGUAGGUGGUUUGUCGCGUUGUUCGUGAAAUCUCACGGCUUAACUGUGAGCGUGCGGGCGAUACGGGCAGACUGGAGUACUGCAGGGGAGACUGGAAUUCCUGGUGUAGCGGUGGAAUGCGCAGAUAUCAGGAGGAACACCGGUGGCGAAGGCGGGUCUCUGGGCAGUAACUGACUCUGAGGAGCGAAAGCGUGGGGAGCGAACAGGAUUAGAUACCCUGGUAGUCCACGCCGUAAACGGUGGGUACUAGGUGUGGGUUUCCUU
rnacentral:rRNA from 1 species